AGAGUUUCACCCUAAGAAGAAAGGGGAAGCAGGUGGAAAAGCAAUUAAAAAAAAAUCAGGUGAGUAUAUCUAAGAACCAUCUGUAAAUAUAAUCUUAUUUCCAUGAAAGGAAAUAAAAGUGGUUUAAUGUUUGCCAGGGAGUAAGAAGGCACCCUCAGUGUUAGCAAUAAGUAAAAAAUAUUUAUGCAAGCAAAUCCUCAUGCAGCUGGAACUUGCCCCACCAGAUUCUCUUUCGGUGAUUCAGAGCUGAAGGUGCCUCACUGCCCUGUGGAACAGGUGAAUAAAGCCUUCCCAGCAUCUCUCUCUAGCCUAUUAUCUCCUGUUAGACACAGCCCAGAAAAUGAAUAGAGACAAGUCCUGGCUGGGUCUGGGUUCAGAAACAUAAUAGAAGGAUUCAUCUAAUCUGUCGGCCACUGUGGAGGAAGUGAACCUUCUAGAUCCUGCUGACUCAUACAAUGAGUUUUGUGUGGACCAUCAGACAAAAGGGCUGGCUGGUGAAGGUGGCUGUUGUCUGGAAAUUCCUCCCAGCUCUCCUCUAAUUAUGUCAUAAGGACUGGAGGCCCCUUAGCCUGCUUGUGAUAACACGCAAGGAAAUAUGGGCCAACUCUUCACAUGAACACAAGAUAUUUCCAUGCUAGCCUUUUGCAAGUAACAACAGAGAGAGCUCUGUGCAGUUUUCACUGGAAUGCCUGUGGAUUGCUUGUGUCAUAACUGUAAUCUAAAGAGUUGUCCAUUUGUUGAUUCCUUUGUAUUUGUAUUGGUAGAAUUGCCACUAUCAAACCAAGAUCUUUAGCUGCCUUUGUAUCAACUUCUUUGGAGCUUAUGUGAUUUUCCAGAAAAUUUCCAAGGCAUAGUUUUGUCCCUAAGUCCCAUGAAUAUGUAAUAUUUUGUGUCUCUCUAUUAAAAUAGCACUUUUUGUGCAUUCCAUUAACAAA
rnacentral:lncRNA from 1 species